rnacentral:rRNA from 1 species
UACAGAGGGUGCGAGCGUUAAUCGGAAUUACUGGGCGUAAAGCGCACGUAGGCGGCUUGGUAUGUCGGGUGUGAAAUCCCCGGGCUCAACCUGGGAACUGCAUCCGAAACUGCCUUGCUCGAGUAUGGGAGAGGGAAGUGGAAUUUCCGGUGUAGCGGUGAAAUGCGUAGAUAUCGGAAGGAACAUCAGUGGCGAAGGCGACUUCCUAGACCAAUACUGACGCUCAGGUGCGAAAGCGUGGGGAGCAAACAGG